GACGAACGCUGGCGGCGUGCUUAACACAUGCAAGUCGAACGGAAAGGCCCUGCUUUUGUGGGGUGCUCGAGUGGCGAACGGGUGAGUAACACGUGAGUAACCUGCCCUUGACUUUGGGAUAACUCCAGGAAACUGGGGAUAAUAUCGGAUAGGAGCUACUGCUGCAUGUUGGGGGUUGGAAAAAUUCGGCGGUUGGGGAUGUAAUCGAGGUUUAUCAGCUUGUUGGUGGGGUAGUGGCUUUCCCAGGCUUGGACGGGUAGCCGGCCUGAGAGGGUGACCGGCCACAUAGGGACAGAGAUACGGCCCAGACGCAUACGGGAGGCAGCAGUGGGGAAUAUUGCACAAUGGGCGGAAGCCUGAUGCAGCAACGCCGCGUGCGGGAUGACGGCCUUCGGGUUGUAAACCGCUUUCGCCUGUGACGAAGCGUGAGUGACGGUAAUGGGUAAAGAAACACCGGCUAACUACGU
rnacentral:rRNA from 1 species